AGUAGCCGCGGUAAUACGUAGGUGGCAAGCGUUGUCCGGAAUUAUUGGGCGUAAAGCGCGCGCAGGUGGUUUAAUAAGUCUGAUGUGAAAGCCCACGGCUCAACCGUGGAGGGUCAUUGGAAACUGUUAAACUUGAGUGCAGGAGAGAAAAGUGGAAUUCCUAGUGUAGCGGUGAAAUGCGUAGAGAUUAGGAGGAACACCAGUGGCGAAGGCGGCUUUUUGGCCUGUAACUGACACUGAGGCGCGAAAGCGUGGGGAGCAAACAGGACUAGAUACCCCAGUAGUCCCUGUCUCUUAUACA
rnacentral:rRNA from 1 species